AACACCCCACGCGACGGUUGGCAUCGGCGGCGGCGGGGAGACUGCGGCGAGCAGCCAGCCAUUGAGUGGCGGAGGCGCGAUGUGUUCUAGCGUUCCUGCGGUGCUCCAGCCGAGAGCUAGGCGGCGGAAACGGGGGUAGGGAGGGCAGGGGGAGCGCGGCGAAGUACGGCAAUGUCGGCGGCAGAUAGGAGGUCAACGCGACAUCUGCCGCGAGGCGUUCCAGCGGCGGCGUCGCACAUGCACAUCGGCCGGCUUAAUUCCUUCGCGGAAUUCUCAGCAACUUGAAUCGCCAAACGAAAUUACUGAAUAGGUUCGUGUUGAGUUUCCUAGCAGUAGCCAACUAUCUAACUAAGCAUCAAAGGUUCCUUCUCAAUUCACGAGACAAGCAACUUCUAUUACCAUCAGCUCAAAAUUCCUACUUGCAUAACAAGGCCAACAAACAAAAUUGGAUAUCUUUCUUUACGAUCAGGUUUACUGCUGUACAAGUACAAUGGAGGACAUUAACCAACAGGCUUUUAGUGCUGUCCAA